AGCUCCAAGAGCGAGCACCAACUUUGCUGCAGUUAAAAAGCUCGUAGUUGAAUUUUUGGAUGGGACUCGUCGUUGGCCUUCAUUGGUCAGACGUUCGCAGUCCCGUUCUUUCGUGGGAUCAAGUGUGUUGCUGCAUUCAUUUGUGACUUCCCGCUCCCCACCUUUUACUGUGAGGAAAUCUGAGUGCUCAACACCUUUUAUUGAAUGAAAGCUUCAGCACGGAAUGAUAAGAUACGACCUGGUUUAUCUUGUUGGUUUAUAAAUCAUGUAAUGAUGAAUAGGAACAGACGGGGGAACUAGUAUUGCGCCGUCAGAGGUGAAAUUCUUGGACCGGCGCAAGACUAACUACAGCGAAAGCAUUUUUCAAGGAUGUUUUCA
rnacentral:rRNA from 1 species